rnacentral:rRNA from 1 species
UGGGGAAUCUUGCACAAUGGGGGAAACCCUGAUGCAGCGACGCCGCGUGAACGAUGAAGCCCUUCGGGGUGUAAAGUUCUUUCGACAGGAACGAUAAUGACGGUACCUGGAGAAGAAGCUGCGGCUAACUACGUGCCAGCAGCCGCGGUAAUACGUAGGCAGCGAGCGUUGUUCGGAGUUACUGGGCGUAAAGAGUGCGUAGGCGGCGAGCCAAGUUUGGUGUGAAAUCUCCCGGCUUAACCGGGAGGGUGCGCCGAAAACUGGUUGGCUGGAGUAUGGGAGAGGAAAGCGGAAUUCCUGGUGUAGCGGUGAAAUGCGUAGAUAUCAGGAGGAACACCUGCGGUGUAGACAGCUUUCUGGACCAAAACUGACGCUGAGGCACGAAAGCGUGGGUAGCAAACG